GGAAGGACCAUGGCUCAGUGGCAAAGCAUCUGCUUUAAAUGCAGAAGGUCCCAGGUUCAAUCCCUGUUGUCUCCA